AAACAAUACAUUCUUAAACUGGCUUGUGUCUGAACUGCAGACAUAUUCAGGAGAUUUUUCUUCUGCUUCUUUCUUGCCCAGUUGUAUAACCAUUCACCAGCUUGUGUCAAUGCUGGAGAGGAAGUACUGCCAUAGAGGAAGUUAACUCACCAUGGUUGUAAGCUGUUGGUGUCUAAACAAAGAUUGGAAACAAAGAGGGCAAAUACAAGUAG
rnacentral:lncRNA from 1 species